rnacentral:rRNA from 1 species
UGGGGGAUAUUGCACAAUGGGCGAAAGCCUGAUGCAGCGACGCCGCGUGGGGGAUGAAGGCCUUCGGGUUGUAAACUUCUUUUGCUCUGAAUAAGGCAUGCUAAUGGGUGUGUUGAGUGUAGGGGUUGAUUAGCGCCGGCUAACUACGUGCCAGCAGCCGCGGUAAUACGUAGGGCGCGAGCGUUGUCCGGAAUUAUUGGGCGUAAAGGGCUUGUAGGUGGCUGGUUGCGUCUGUCGUGAAAGCUCAUGGCUUAACUGUGGGUUUGCGGUGGGUACGGGCUGGCUUGAGUGCAGUAGGGGAGGCUGGAAUUCCUGGUGUAGCGGUGGAAUGCGCAGAUAUCAGGAGGAAUACCGGUGGCGAAGGCGGGUCUCUGGGCUGUUACUGACACUGAGGAGCGAAAGCAUGGGGAGCGAACAGG